UGUUAAGCACAAAGUCGAAAACGUGUUCUUGCUAUGAUAUCCCGAUACAUUUGUGUCAUUAACGCUGAGUUUUAACAUUCGAACUGGAAGGUUCAUCGGUUGCUUGUGAAUAGAGACCCCAAAUUCUCCAACUUUGUGGAGCUGAGAGUGUUAAAACUUUUUCUUUUUCACAGAUCAUUCUAUUGCCGCAUGUAAAACUUCAUGCAAUGAUAAGACCUAUGUUGUGUGUUCUAUUCCCUUCAAAGUUAAGAUGCCAUUGAUUCCUUAACCUGCACUGCCAAAGAUGCUCUGAUUGAAUACUGACUCUGUUGAUUGUGGUGAAGAGCAGAAUGAGAAGGAAAUAGUUAUGAUGAAAUAUGAGAUAAUUGUUUCUCACCUGCUAGUUCUCUUCCACAGUUCCACUAAGCUAUAUAGAGGCAAAAACUGAUCCUUAGCAUCAAACCCCAAACUUUGCUCCGUAAAACAAGACCUGGGAAAUCUACCAGCAACAACGUACACUUCAACUGCUAAAACACAUACUGAAGACAGAAAGAUGUAUGUUCGAGAACCAGCAGGCCCAUUUAUUUCAAUGGCAGAAAUGAUGAAGAAGUUCGAAUCUUGAACAAGGGAGAUGUCAAUGCUACACAUGAAUUGUUCCAUGUCACAUGAUGGUAUUGCUGGAUCAGUGCAGAGGAAGCCUAAGAUUGCUGACAAGGCCUAAGGAACCUGAACUUGAAACAGCUCAACGUUACUGUCCAGUAAAACUUAAGAGCUCAGCUGAGUUGGAAGAAGAAUGAUGGCAAAAAUUCCCAAGUUUAAGGCUCACCCUCUAAAUAAGAAGUGUUCUUCAUUGCAGCUUCGAAACCUUUUCCUUCUCCCUCGGAACCUUUUCAGCUUAUCCCGAUAAUGGAUGUUGCCGUUGAUUGGAAGAAAACUCAGGCUGCUGCUGCUAUGUUGACAAACGGCUACUGAUUUCUUGCUGGCAGUGGGGGGAGUGUUCUCCAUCGAUUCUCACAAUUAUAAUUGGAAUGGAUGUUGCCGUUGAU